rnacentral:rRNA from 1 species
AUGAACGCUAGCGACAGGCUUAACACAUGCAAGUCGAGGGGCAGCGGGGGUAGCGAUACCCGCCGGCGACCGGCGCACGGGUGAGUAACGCGUAUGCAACUUGCCUAUCAGAGGGGGAUAACCCGGCGAAAGUCGGACUAAUACCGCAUGAAGCAGGGAUCCCGCAUGGGAAUAUUUGCUAAAGAUUCAUCGCUGAUAGAUAGGCAUGCGUUCCAUUAGGCAGUUGGCGGGGUAACGGCCCACCAAACCGACGAUGGAUAGGGGUUCUGAGAGGAAGGUCCCCCACAUUGGUACUGAGACACGGACCAAACUCCUACGGGAGGCAGCAGUGAGGAAUAUUGGUCAAUGGGCGCGAGCCUGAACCAGCCAAGUCGCGUGAGGGAUGAAGGUUCUAUGGAUCGUAAACCUCUUUUAUAAGGGAAUAAAGUGCGGGACGUGUCCCGUUUUGUAUGUACCUUAUGAAUAAGGAUCGGCUAACUCCGUGCCAGCAGCCGCGGUAAUACGGAGGAUCCGAGCGUUAUCCGGAUUUAUUGGGUUUAAAGGGUGCGUAGGCGGCCUUUUAAGUCAGCGGUGAAAGUCUGUGGCUCAACCAUAGAAUUGCCGUUGAAACUGGGGGGCUUGAGUAUGUUUGAGGCAGGCGGAAUGCGUGGUGUAGCGGUGAAAUGCUUAGAUAUCACGCAGAACCCCGAUUGCGAAGGCAGCCUGCCAAGCCAUGACUGACGCUGAUGCACGAAAGCGUGGGGAUCAAACAGGAUUAGAUACCCUGGUAGUCCACGCAGUAAACGAUGAUCACUAGCUGUUUGCGAUACAUUGUAAGCGGCACAGCGAAAGCGUUAAGUGAUCCACCUGGGGAGUACGCCGGCAACGGUGAAACUCAAAGGAAUUGACGGGGGCCCGCACAAGCGGAGGAACAUGUGGUUUAAUUCGAUGAUACGCGAGGAACCUUACCCGGGUUUGAACGCAUUCGGACCGAGGUGGAAACACCUUUUCUAGCAAUAGCCGUUUGCGAGGUGCUGCAUGGUUGUCGGCAGCUCGUGCCGUGAGGUGUCGGCUUAAGUGCCAUAACGAGCGCAACCCUUGCCACUAGUUACUAACAGGUAAAGCUGAGGACUCUGGUGGGACUGCCAGCGUAAGCUGCGAGGAAGGCGGGGAUGACGUCAAAUCAGCACGGCCCUUACAUCCGGGGCGACACACGUGUUACAAUGGCGUGGACAAAGGGAAGCCACCUGGCGACAGGGAGCGAAUCCCCAAACCACGUCUCAGUUCGGAUCGGAGUCUGCAACCCGACUCCAUGAAGCUGGAUUCGCUAGUAAUCGCGCAUCAGCCAUGGCGCGGUGAAUACGUUCCCGGGCCUUGUACACACCGCCCGUCAAGCCAUGGGAGCCGGGGGUACCUGAAGUCCGUAACCGCGAGGAUCGGCCUAGGGUAAAACUGGUGACUGGGGCU